AUUUUUUCUCUAUAUUUUGGUCCCUUUAUAAGAGGGGAAGGUGGGCACUAUUUGUAACAGAGCGCCACCUAGGGUUUGCAAGAAAAGCCAUACCCCCACGGGACAUGCUCAACGCGGCCUGUACCAAGGCCCUGCUUCGGUGGGUCACGUUCGCUUCCUUCGUGCAUGGUCUUUUACUGCGCAGCCAGGUCGUGGUGAAGUUAAUAUUACUGUUGUACACGCGAUGCAUGCUAAAAAAGGUUAUCGUGGUCCGGUGGCAGCGACCCGCCCUGAAACACAAGUGCGCAAAGACAAGGUAAUAAAAUACUCCAGCUGCGACAGCCUUCCUAUGUAUUGUUAAGAUUCCUCCGUAGGUUGAACCUGCGGAGGGAUCAUUACACAAUACAAUAUGAAGGCUGUCCGCAGCUGGAGUAUUUUAUUACCCUUGUCUUUUGCGCACUUGUUGUUUCCUGGGCGGGUUCGCUCGCCACCAGGACCACCAAAUAAACCUUUUUUAUGCAGUUGCAAUCAGCGUCAGUACAAACAAUGUAAAUCAUUUACAACUUUCAACAACGGAUCUCUUGGUUCUGGCAUCGAUGAAGAACGCAGCGAAAUGCGAUACGUAGUGUGAAUUGCAGAAUUCAGUGAAUCAUCGAAUCUUUGAACGCACAUUGCGCCCUUUGGUAUUCCAAAGGGCAUGCCUGUUCGAGCGUCAUUUGUACCCUCAAGCUUUGCUUGGUGUUGGGCGUUUUUGUCUUUGGUCGCCCAAAGACUCGCCUUAAAGUGAUUGGCAGCCGGCCUUUCUGGUUUCGCAGCGCAGCACAUUUUUGCGCUUGCCAUCAGCAAAACGGCAAUCCAUCAAGCCUCCUUCUCACGUUGACCUCGGAUUCAGGGAAGGAACGU
rnacentral:rRNA from 1 species